rnacentral:rRNA from 1 species
AUACAGAGGGUGCAAGCGUUAAUCGGAUUUACAGGGCGUAAAGCGCGCGUAGGCGGCUAAUUAAGUCAAAUGUGAAAUCCCCGAGCUUAACUUGGGAAUUGCAUUCGAUACUGGUUAGCUAGAGUGUGGGAGAGGAUGGUAGAAUUCCAGGUGUAGCGGUGAAAUGCGUAGAGAUCUGGAGGAAUACCGAUGGCGAAGGCAGCCAUCUGGCCUAACACUGACGCUGAGGUGCGAAAGCAUGGGGAGCAAACAGGAUUAGAUACCCGAGUAGUCC